GAAAUGUCAUCGCACCACGUAAAUUUGCAGUUUAGCAGACAGUUGCAAAAUCAAACCGUAUAAAAAGUAUUUAUGCUAAAAUAAAAUAUGAAAUUUCCAAAGUUCUAAAAAAUUUUUUAGUUCUACACUUCUGUCAAAAUUAUAUCAUUUCCUUGUCAAGAAACGCAAGAGAAUUUACAAUCUGUGUGUGUACUGUAAUCACGAACACGAAAGAAAAUGAAGAGAGGAACGAAGUGUAUCGCACAAACCAUUAAUUUGUCCAAUCCGCAAACAUGCGUAAGACCCAAAAUUCAGAAAUUCGUUAACGCGAAUGGAGAUGUUUUUGAUUCUACUCGCAACAACAAAACCAGCUGGACAUCUCCUAGAUCAGUGGCGGUUAAGAUCUGUUCCUUGAAAGAUAUAAAAGAUAGAAAAUGCUCACCAAAAUCGCGACACCAAUUCUGGGUUAAAUCGUGUGGCUUGUCGCUGUGUCGAGCGCUCACUUGCUCUCGCGCGAUAUUGACACACCGUGUAACGAGAUGAUGGUGUUCGAGCACCUGUACGGAAUUGGUUAGUCGAUACGUAGUUGCGUUUACCUGGAAUUAGCUCGGUGUACACUACUAUAGCGACAUCGAUGGGUCUCUAAUGGAGGAGGACAGUCCGAGUUCCCGUAAUUGUUAGAGACAUCAUCUGCGUAGGUCUUGGAACACGAGAUGAUCGAUAGUUGUGAAAAAUCGAUGCCGGUAACGAGCGGCAAAAAACUUUUCCGAAUCGCAAUGUUUCUCGUAAAGGGUGCCGUUGUCGUUAGUCUCGUUUAUUGGACGUAUUCGGAAGGUCUUUGGAGCGGCAGCAGCCAAACAGAAAAUCUAUAUCAUAGAAUAAUGAGCAUAUUUGAUCCAAGCCGAUCAGAACAGUUGCCACAUCUGGAAGAUAUGAAAUAUUCGCUAUUAGAGAUAUACAAUGAGAUGGUGAUGAAAGUUAUGCAUGUCAUUGUUAAUGUGCCAAGGGAAAUAUAUCGAAGAAUUAAUGAAAUCUUAUCAUCUUGUGAUACAACUAGAAAAAACGAAACAAAAUGAAAUCUGAUGAGAGUUUGAAAGAGAAAUUUAGUAAAUUGGUGUUAUUAUUUAUGUGUGUAAGAUAUAUCUUUUAUAUAUUGUGACGCGAAUAUGUAUUUUUUUUAUAAAAGUUUAUGCAAACUGUUUCGGUGCGUUUUCUUGAUAUAAACUUUUUAUACGAUCUUGUACCGUGUUUUCGUUGUGUUUUCAUAUAAAAUUUAAGUAAACGUCAAAGUUUUUAAAUGCAAAUAUACAUUAUAAUUUUCCGAAACAUUUGCGCAAGCUUUAAAAGACAUAUAUACACACACAAUGUGUAUUUGGUAACAACAGUGAAUAUAUAAAACAGGAUUAAAAUUC